CAGGAUGGUCUAGGGUUCCGGGAAAGGCAGGGUUCAACCAUGUACAAGGCCGUCGGAUCCCGAGGCUCCCGGGUCAGUCGCGUGCUCUGG
rnacentral:ncRNA from 1 species